rnacentral:rRNA from 1 species
CCUACGGGGUGCAGCAGUGAGGAAUAUUGGUCAAUGGACGAGAGUCUGAACCAGCCAAGUAGCGUGAAGGAUGACUGCCCUAUGGGUUGUAAACUUCUUUUAUAUGGGAAUAAAAUGUUCCACGUGUGGGAUUUUGUAUGUACCAUAUGAAUAAGGAUCGGCUAACUCCGUGCCAGCAGCCGCGGUAAUACGGAGGAUCCGAGCGUUAUCCGGAUUUAUUGGGUUUAAAGGGAGCGUAGGUGGAUUGUUAAGUCAGUUGUGAAAGUUUGCGGCUCAACCGUAAAAUUGCAGUUGAAACUGGCAGUCUGGAGUACAGUAGAGGUGGGCGGAAUUCGUGGUGUAGCGGUGAAAUGCUUAGAUAUCACGAAGAACUCCGAUUGCGAAGGCAGCUCACUGGACUGCAACUGACACUGAGGCUCGAAAGUGUGGGUAUCAAACAGGAUUAGAGACCCGGGUAGUC